UACACCAUGAUAACCUCCUGGAUAAAAUCGAUAAAACACUGGCACUUCAUAUAACUCUAACAAGCGUACAAACUCCUUUGACCGAUCAAUCAAUGGGUCUCCUUCAUCAUCUUUAACAAACCAUCUUGGCACACGUUUGACUCUAUCGAACCCAUGAAUAAACGGAUUGGAGAAUUUGUGAUCUCGAUUUGCUUGGAAUGGCAAUGACAAUGUCCAAUAGGCAUCAUUUACGUACAAAGGUAGGUAAGUAUCUUCUAUAAGUCUGAGCUCUGAUGAAGUCCUUUUGACUCCACCAAAAAAUGCCUGAUCCAAUAUCACGCCUUGGAUUGUCAUUGGUUGAAGAUUAUGCGUUGUUGCACGAAGGACUG
rnacentral:lncRNA from 1 species